UACGUAGGGUGCGAGCGUUAAUCGGAAUUACUGGGCGUAAAGCGUGCGCAGGCGGUUGUGCAAGACAGAGGUGAAAUCCCCGGGCUUAACCUGGGAAUGGCCUUUGUGACUGCACGGCUGGAGUGUGUCAGAGGGGGGUAGAAUUCCACGUGUAGCAGUGAAAUGCGUAGAGAUGUGGAGGAAUACCGAUGGCGAAGGCAGCCCCCUGGGGAUAACACUGACGCUCAGGCACGAAAGCGUGGGGAGCAAACAGG
rnacentral:rRNA from 1 species